UACGGGGGGGGCGAGCGUUGUCCGAAUUUACUGGGCGUAAAGCGCGCGUAGGUGGAUUGGCAAGUCUGCCGUGAAAGCCCGGGGCUCAACCCCGGAGGGUCGGUGGAUACUGCCAGUCUUGAAGUGGCUAGGGGGAUGUGGAAUUACUAGUGUAGCGGUGAAAUGCGUAGAUAUUAGUAGGAACACCAGUGGCGAAGGCGGCAUCCUGGGGCUAUCUUGACACUGAGGCGCGAAAGCUGGGGGAGCGAACGGG
rnacentral:rRNA from 1 species